rnacentral:rRNA from 1 species
UACGGGGGGUGCAAGCGUUAUUCGGAAUUAUUGGGCGUAAAGGGCGCGUAGGCGGUCUCUUAAGUCAGAUGUGAAAGCCCGGGGCUUAACCCCGGAAGUGCAUUUGAAACUAAGGGACUUGAGUAUGGGAGAGGGAAGUGGAAUUCCUGGUGUAGAGGUGAAAUUCGUAGAUAUCAGGAGGAACACCGGUGGCGAAGGCGACUUCCUGGACCAAUACUGACGCUAAGGCGCGAAGGCGUGGGGAGCAAACAGGAUUAGAUACCCCCGUA